GUGCUCGCUUCGGCAGCACACACACCGAAAGUGGAGUGAUAUGGGGUAGAUCAGCAUGGACCCUGCACAAGGAUGACACACAAAUUUGUGAAGCCAUUUCAUAUUUU